rnacentral:rRNA from 1 species
AACGAACGCUGGCGGCAGGCCUAACACAUGCAAGUCGAGCGGCACCUUCGGGUGUAGCGGCGGACGGGUUAGUAACGCGUGGGAACGUGCCCUUCUCUACGGAAUAGCCUCGGGAAACUGAGAGUAAUACCGUAUACGCCCUUUGGGGGAAAGAUUUAUCGGAGAAGGAUCGGCCCGCGUUGGAUUAGGUAGUUGGUGGGGUAAUGGCCUACCAAGCCGACGAUCCAUAGCUGGUUUGAGAGGAUGAUCAGCCACACUGGGACUGAGACACGGCCAGACUCCUA